rnacentral:rRNA from 1 species
ACGCUCGACACCUACAGGAGGCAGCAGUGGGGAAUAUUGCACAAUGGGGGAAACCCUGAUGCAGCGACGCCGCGUGGAGGAAGAAGGUCUUCGGAUUGUAAACUCCUGUUGUUGGGGAAAAAGAGGAUGGUACCCAACAAGGAAGUGUACGGCUAACUACGUGCCAGCAGCCGCGGUAAUCUGAGCGGGCUGGCAAGGC